rnacentral:rRNA from 1 species
UACGUAGGUGGCAAGCGUUGUCCGGAUUUACUGGGCGUAAAGAGCGCGCAGGCGGUCGUUCAAGUCGCGUGUGAAAGCCCCGGCUCAACUGGGGAGGGUCACGCGAUACUGAUCGACUCGAAGGCAGGAGAGGGAAGUGGAAUUCCCGGUGUAGUGGUGAAAUGCGUAGAUAUCGGGAGGAACACCAGUGGCGGAAGGCGACUUCCUGGCCUGUUCUUGACGCUGAGGCGCGAAAGCUAGGGAGCAAACGGG